GGGUAACACUUAGAAAGGGCUUCAAAUUGUACCAAGCACACAGGAAGCACACGAUAAAUGUUAGGUAUCGUUGUUACUAUUUACCUAAUGAGGUGUCACAUUAUCCUCGUUUUACAAACAAGGAAACUGAGACUCAGAGAGGAUAUUGAUUUCCAUCUCAAGCUGAUAAUCUCAUGGCCACAAGCUUCCAGACCCCAGAUGUCACCUCUUCACUCAACAUUACCCAAAGCAGGAAGAGAAGGAGGGCAAACGGGCUUUCUCUCCAGGUGGCUCUGUCUUCACUCAGAGAGGAAUAUCUUGUCGAGAAGCUCCUCAAAGAUCCCCCGACUCACCCAAAACUGCCCCUAUACUAAACGUGCAAAGGAGAAUGGGAUUGCUAUGGUUGAAUGAAGCCAACAAGGAUCCAGUCGCUUGGGGCUCCACAGCACAUUGCUACCUGAACAAAAAUCAGGGACUCUGGCAAGGAAGAACAAGGAAUGGCUGUUAGAUAGGAAAGGAAGUGUCUGCCACAGAAGUCUUAACUCUGCCCAGACCACAUGAGGCUUAAAGACGUCUGCCCUCAGAGAAAAUGUGGCAUUCUGCAAGGAGGAUGGAGGAUGUACUCAAAUUUUUUAAUGCAAUGUAGCCUUCUUAUCCACUAGAAACUUCUGGAAUUCAGAAAGGACCAGGAGGCAGAUCUCUCAUUCAUUACCUCCUGAGCAGAUUUUUUAACAUCAUAAGCCUCCUUUUCCAUGUUUGUAAAAGGAGCUUAUAACAGGACUUUCCUCAAGGGUGUGUUAUGAGAAUUUUAAAAGUUAAUAGAAAGCACUUAGAACAGGUCUUCACCUGUGGCAAGCCCCAAAUAAAUCUUACCUCACUAUUAUUGCUCAGUGGUUAUGGGAAAUAAUUUUGAGUUUCUACAUAACCCGGGGCCACUGUUAGAAAAUCAUAAGAGCUUGAGAAUUUUGAGAUACCUAGGGCAGUUUCUGGGGCUGGUUUCAUAGAAACGCACAAUAAGGAAAGACUGAACAUGAAGAGAGAAAUUUUACGGGCUACACGUGUGACUUCUGACAGAAGAAGCUCAAAGCACUCACUCUGAACCAACAGAGACUUAGUGGACCCAAAUCUGUCUCAGAAUCCAGCAAAAUCCAGGAAGCUAGCAGUGUGAAGUUACGGACCCUUACACAGUCUUGCUUUCUCUAAGUCACUUCAGGGGCCAAUCUGAAGAAGUUCCAGUAAGAACUGUGGAGCACCAGAGCUUUGAUCUGCCCUCAGAGGUGGUGCUGACGUUGUGACGCUGUGCUGUCUCCUUGCCACGGAGCUAUUCCAGGAAGCAAGAGACUUUGAAACGACCCAGACGGCCUUUCAAGAGCUGUUGACAGGAGCAGGUGGGAGUCACCACAGCCAGCAGAAAAUGCCGCUGGGAGUCACUGCAAGCAACAAUAUAAAGAGGAAUGGCCACCAGGAACUGGAGCCCUGGCAUCUCCUGUCACUGCGGACCGUGAUCCACGAAAGCUGGCACCAUCAAUAACAAUCUCUAGAAGACAGUGCUAGAAACUGCCGAUGGAGUGGCUCCUCAUCAUUCAAAGCAGCAGACCCUAGGUCAAAACUGGGAGAUCUUACUGCUGGGAAGUCCUGGCCCUCCUCACCAUCGGUUCAAUGGAUCAAAGUGCUGGUCAUUGAAUAGCAAACUUUAGAGGGAACAACACGGUCUUGGAGUUAAAAGACCUGGACUUGAGUUCUGGAUUUUCCAUUCUGUGACCUUGGUCCCUUCCAAAGUUCCUUGAGCAAACCAGAAGGCAGCAAUACUUCAGCAGUUGGGAGAGAAGGACGCCUUACAAGAUGCCAUCACAGCUGCUGUGUUGCGCCAGGCCACCCUCCGGAUACGUGCAGACGGGUGCUCUCUGCGCACCCCCGGUCUCGAGGAUUUCCUGCACAGAGCAGAGCGCUCCCUCCCCGCCUCCCUCGCCUUGGGCACUGUCUUCUGUUUUGGCAAUGAGCGGUGCUCCUGACAGACUCCAUCUGCCGAUCCACUUUGAGUUUCCACUGCACUGACAUCUGGGAUUCAAAACUAUUCAAUCUACUGUCAACAGAGCCUUCCUUUAAAAAAGAAAAAAACAAUCAAGAAGUGAAAGAAUCCAAACACUAUCUAAAAUGAAACAGAGAGCAUUCCUUUUGUCUUGUUUUUUAAAUAGAGCUCCCCGCCUCCAAAUGUUUAUUCUAGGAUUAGGAAGCAUGUUGUAGAAAGGGUGUUAUGAUCACCCUCUAAAAAUCUUGUUUUUGUAAUACUGAAUUUACCAUAUGAUAUUAAUUUGGGGAAAGAAAAAAAACAGGAAAGCAGCUCCAGCACAAAGAGUUCUGCAAUGCAGUGCUGUGGAGUUUCAGUACUAUGGCAAGAGGAAGAGCUCGAGAACUGAUAAUGUCUAUUAACGUUUUCAGGCACAAAAGUGAUGAAAUUGUUUUGUUCGCGUCCACAUUGACUCUUGCCUAGACUACUGCAAUAGAUUGAAUUGGAAGCUGUGAGCAAAUGAAAACAGGGUUUGGCGGGAGCAUUUUGCCACCUCUACCAUAGGACGGGUCACUGCCGACAGCAUCCUUGUUGAUGCGACGUUUGGCAAAGGGCCUACUGCAGAAAUACAGUCUGCGACUUUAUUUUUCUGGAGAUUUCAUCCAUGAAGACUUUCUUUUCCAGUUACAAAGUUCUCCCAAGAGGGACAGAGCUGCUUUUUGGAAACCUGUGACGUCUUGGCAAGGCCUACCCUGUUUACCAUGGAAACUUGUCCUCGGGUAGAAUUACAGCGUAUGACCUGGUACCAGCAUAGAUGGAUGUUUGAUGCCUGCUAUUUUCUCUUCAUGUUCAUUUGGAAAUUAUAAAUCAUGGAACCAGAUCAAAUAACUUUGAUCUUUCCAGGUCAUUCAUUCAUUGUGGCAUACGGUCAUAUCUGCAUGGACUUGAAAACACAUUGGCAGAUGACAGAACAUAUGUUACGAUUAAAAUGUUCAGGUUUGAUUCUGGUUAAUCUGCAUAGGGUUGCCUGAGAAGGGCAUUGAUGUUUGUGAGCAUGGAUGGCUUAUCUGUUGUUUUUUUCGUAGAGAGUUCUAAAAUAUCGUAUGGCUUCGAAAUUACAUUGACGGGUUAUAUUUUUUUAAAUGAGAAAGAGAGAAAUUAACUAACCCUGCCUGCAAGCAGAUGCUAUCUGCUUUCUUCUAAAUAACUGUUUAAAACAUCUGGCCCAGGAUUGUGGAGGAGAUUUGUUUUUAUGUCUUUGGGAAAUAGUCUAGUUCGGGACCUCACCACUUCUUUCCUGGGUUACUGCAAUAGUUUUCUAACUUGAUCUCAGACUACAGCUCUUGCAUCCCACCCUCAAUCCGUCUGCCAUACUCCUACUGGCACUGUCAUUCAAAAAAAAGAUCUGAUCGCCCCAACCCAGUUGUUAAAACCCUCCAAAGGUUUUAGGAGAAAGUGCCAAAUUUGCAUGGCAUGCAAAGUUCUAUCUUAGCUUUUCCUCUUGAUUCACACUACUUUCACUCUACAUGCCGCAUACCACAUGCCACUCUCUCGGUUAUCACUCAGUUGUGCAUCUCUGCCUUUGAACCAGCUGCUCCCAUGCAUAUAAUGUCACCUCUGGAACACCGCACCCUUUCCAUGGCUUGCUCCUAUCCGUCUUUUAGCUCACAUGCCACUUUCUCCAGAAACCAACCCAAAUUUUCUCCUCUAGGAAAGGUGACCCCCACAAGCGGUCCAGUAAGACUUGUGUGUAUCUCUAGGAUGGCGGCCAUCACACAGGACUGCAUUUUAAUAGCCAUGGAAGUUCCAAGAGAUCACAUUUUACCCAGAGUCUAACAAAUAUCCUGGCAUAUAGAUGGUACUCAAUAAAAAUUGGCAAAAUUAUGAAUGAACAAAAGGGUGAACGAAGGCAUAAAAUUUUUGCAUUUACAUUAUACUUGUUUUUCUGGUUAUGCUUUCAGACAUUGAUAUUCUUGAAUUUGUCAUUUUGAAGGAAUCUAAGUGAUCAGAAUUAUUUUUUCCCUUCCUGCAAUUUUGAGAAAACAAAGUAGGUUUAAGAACCAAAUUUGUCUCAAAGUUUAGACAAGCUAAAAAAAAUUGAAGAAUGCUCUUUUCAUGGCUAGCACAGCCACAGCUCGUGGUCCCGAGGAGCAUCUGAAGCAUGGAGCAGCUCCAAAGCACUGGAUGCUGAUAAACUGACCAGUGUGUCUGCUCCCUGUCCAUCUACCAGUCUCCACAAGCUGACAGAACGUCUUCCCCUCAUUUUCUAAGGAACAGACUUAAGUAUGCUCUGACAAGAGAAGAACUACAGAAGAUUCGCAUGCAGCAGUUCGUUAAGAUUGACUGCGAGGCUGGAACUGAUGUAACGUACCCUGCUGGUUCAAUAGAUGUCACUAGCAUUGACAAGGCUGGAGAGGAUUUUUGUCUUAUCCACGACACCAAGGGUCGCUUGCCAUUCAUCAUAUUACACCUGAGGAAGCCAAGUACAAGUUAUGCAAAGUUAGGCAGAUCUUUGUGGGCACAAAAGGAAUCCCUCAUCGGAUGACCCAUGAUGCUCACACCAACCACUACCCUGAUUUCUCAUCAAAGUGAAUGAUGUGAUUCAGAUUGAUCUGGAAACUGGCAAGAUUACUGAUUUCAUCAAGUUUAACACUGGUAACCUGUAUAUGGUGACUGGAGGUGCUGACCUUGGAAGAAUUGGUGUGAUCACCAACAGAGAGAUAUCCUGGUUCUUUUUCUUCUUUUCUUUCUUUGGUGAGGAGGAUUGGCCUUGAGCUAACAUCUGUUGCCAAUCUUCCGCUUUUAGCUUGAGGAGGAUUGUUGCUGAACUGACAUCUGUGCCAAUCUUCCUCUAUUUUGUAUAUGGGACGCCACCACAGCAUGGCUUGAUGAGUAGUGUGUAGUUCUGCACCCAGGAUCUGAACCCACAAACCCUGGGCCACCAAAGUGGAGCGCAUGAACUUAACCACUACACCACUGGGCCGGCCCACCAUCCUGGUUCUUUUGAGGUAGUUCAUGUGAAAGAUGCCACAGGCAACAGCUUCGCCACCCAACUCUCCAACAUUUUUUUAUUGGCAAAGACAACAAAGCACGGAUUUCUCUUCCCCAAGGAAAAGGGAUCCUCCUCACCAUUGCCUAAGAGAAAGACGAGAGACUGGCCGCCAAACAGGGCAGUGGGUGAAAUGAUCCCUUGGUGACAUGACUGGACGGUCUUUGUACUUAAUUAAAGAUAGGAUGGAGUGAUUAAAAAAACAAAAAGAAUUGAAGAACGGCACAAACCACUCACCAACUAAACGUUAUCUAUGCAGUCAUCAUGCAAAUGAUGUCGUGACCCUUUGCACUGUGUGCAUUAUAUUGACCCACUCAGAGCAGCUCGAAUAAAAAUGCCAGCCUUAGCUUGUGACCAAUAAGUUGCCUCCAGUUAUUCAUAGAUAUUGGUAAUUUUUAGGAUAAAAUCAUUUUAAAUUCACUUAAAUACAAAAGAAUUAAUGUAAAUGAUCUUCUUCAGCACUUUUGGUAAGAAGUAUGUUAUUAACCUGAAUCAGCAGC
ensembl:lncRNA